rnacentral:lncRNA from 1 species
AUUUAUUGAAUUACGCUGUCAAAUUACUAGGGCAGGCUCAGCUAAUAAAGUCUUUGUAGCUGGCUGCGAUGAGCGCUGCCGGUUUGACACUUUCCCUCRGCCCGACCCUGGGAAGUGCUGCGUGCUGUCAGCUUGCAUCUGGAAUUUUUGUUGUCUCGUGAGCSAAGACUGCUCUCAUUGC